AGAUGCGGGCCGCGGGUGCGUGACCACGGACGGUCUGCUGAGCGCCCUGGCCCGCCUGCGCCGUCCGCCACCCCCCCUCCCGCACCCUGUGACUCCCACACGACCCUCGGAUGGGCGUAACCAGGCCUCCAAGAUCCAAUCGUCUCGCCCCUCCCCUGAACACGCCGCAGGUCAAGACGGUAGUAUGACAGUGGCCCACGGUGAUGGUUCGCCCGAGCGGCUGGGUGGCGCUCUCCGCCGGCUUCACUACCGCGCCACGCGUCGAGCGCACUCCGCCGCCGCCCGACACCACUCCUCUACACCCAAGGU
rnacentral:misc_RNA from 1 species